GCUGGGCGUAGUGGCCCAUGCCUGUAAUCCCAGCAGUUUGGGAGGCUGAGGCAGGAGGAUCUUGAGUUCAGAGCCAGCUUCAGCAACUUAAUGAGGCCCUCAGCAACUCAGGGAGAUCCUGUCUCUA
rnacentral:sRNA from 1 species